rnacentral:lncRNA from 1 species
GGAUGUAUCACAUGAGAAUGACAAAAAUAUAUGAGAAUGAUGAGAAUAAAUAGGAGCCAUUAGAUUAAAAAUGAAGGGCUUAGAUUAAAAUAUAACUUAAAUGAGCAUGUGCAGGUAAUCCAAUUCGUUGUCUCUUCCCAAGCAAAACACUUAUGGCUGGUUCAUAUUUCUCCCUCUUUCUCCCUGGCAAUCUCUCUUACCGGCAACCAUCUCACUCUUGGCGACCCAUCUCUCUCCCGGCGGCCGUUUCUUUCUCUCUCUCUCUCUCUCUAUGCGAGCUGUUCAUAUUCUCCCUUUGUUCCUCUUUCAAUUUCUCUGUUAAAUAUAUCUUCUUUCUUAACAUCCAUGAUUUUAAUCGAGUUCUGGAUCUGGCAAAAAACAUUGAAAAUGGGUUGGAGAAGAUGUACGGUGAGUUGAAAAUUGAUUUUGUGCCAAUUUCUUCAACAACAAAAAACUGAUUUUGUGGCAAAGAGAAAAAAAUCCACCUCCGCAAAUUGAAACCUGCAAAACACACAAACACAAUGAAAUUGAACAGAAGGAGUGGGUAAUGUUCAAAUUGAUGCAACGACCAUAGAUAGAGAAUCCAUUGGCGGCAGCGUGGCGUUAAGAGAUGAGAAAUC